rnacentral:rRNA from 1 species
UCUUGCAAACUAAAGAUGGCGACCGGCGCACGGGUGAGUAACACGUAUCCAACCUGCCGAUAACUCGGGGAUAGCCUUUCGAAAGAAAGAUUAAUAUCCGAUAGUAUAUUAAAACCGCAUGGUUUUACUAUUAAAGAAUUUCGGUUAUCGAUGGGGAUGCGUCCCAUUAGUUUGUUGGCGGGGUAACGGCCCACCAAGACUACGAUGGAUAGGGGUUCUGAGAGGAAGGUCCCCCACAUUGGAACUGAGACACGGUCCAA